rnacentral:lncRNA from 1 species
GGACAUCGAUGCAGAAGAUUCAACCGAUAUAUACCAUAUUACAUUUAAGGAUACGAAUCAAAAACGUUAGCGGAUCAUUGUAUAUAUUUGUCUAUAUGUUGAUUAAUAAGGUGGAGAGGAAUUAAGUAACAAUAAUAAUAAUAGUUUGGGUUUUUUUUGUUUUUUUUUGCAAGUAGCAAUUUAUUUUUAUGAAAAGCCAAGUAGCCAUCAAUAUAUUAAUUAUCCGUAUAAAUUUAUAAGAAAAUUGCAUAUUGUUCCAAUUAAUAUAAUCAUUCUCAUUUUUCAGAGUAUCGUAUAAAUUAUUCCAUGAAA